GGAUGGUCCAAAAUGGCAGCGCACCUCCACUCUGAGGAAGAAUUGGUGAGUACUUGGCUGUGACCUCCUUUUUCCCGCGUCGGAGGCGGGCGGGGCGAGUCGCUGCGAGGUGAAACAAGGUAGAGCUUUUCUCUCGUUGUUAGCGAGAGCCGUUACAGCGGCCCGCACAUGUAACGUCGUGUAAGUUGUAGCUCGAAUGAAUUAGCAGCGGCCGUUGGUAUGUCCGCGCGUGUGAGCGAGUGUGUGUGUCCGCGCUCGUGGGUGCGUGCGUGCGUACGUCGGUUGGGAGCAGCUAGAGUUGCCCGGCGUGGCGGCGGUGUGGUGUUGGUGUGGAAGCAGUUGGUGAUAGAGCCGGGUGUCCGCCGCCGCCGUCGCGUCGCUCCUCCGUCCGCUCCCCCCCUCGCGCCCUCGCCGCCGACCCCUCCCAGUGGGUGCCCUUGUCGCUUUGUCGCCUCGUCCUUCCUCGUGGCCGCCGGAGCUGCCGCAGGGACCUGUGUCGUCCCCCCGACGUCGCUGGCCUGCCCUCGUCCUCUCCGCCCGCGCCCCUAGGAACAGCGGAAAGGAGGAGGAGGAGGGUCCUGGGCGGCGUGGAAUGUGCCCCCGAAGCUCACUGCAGGAGACUUCAGGAGGGAAAAGAAAAGCGAGGAGCACUUGGUGAUAGCCCGUGUGGAGAGGCGCCAGGGUGUGUGUCCCCCCCUGUCUGUGUAUGUCCAUACGCACACGUGUUCAUGUACGUGUACCUUUUAUGUGUGUGUGUAUGUAAACAAUGUGUGUGAACCGAGGAUGAAAUUAUGGGAGCCUUUGUCAGGCGAAGAGCAUGGGAAGACUCCUUCGCGUAGAAUGAGCACUGUGACGGAACGCUGAAGUAUAACGGGCCGCCUCCUCUGCCAGGGCGUCGGGACGGCUGGAACUCCUGACAGGAACUCCGAUGUGGAAACGGCGUGGCUGGGGCGUCUCCCUCGCUCCUGCGGGACCGGAAAUCUCUCGUGUGUGAAUCCGAAGGAGUCCGUUCAGCGGUGUGAUGGAGAGGGAAGAAAGAGAAAGAGAAAGAAAGAAAGAAAGAAAGAAAGAAAGAAAGAAAGAAAGAAAGAAAGAAAGAAAGAAAGAAAGAAAGAAAGAAAGAAAGAAAGAAAGAAACUGUGUGUAUGUGUAUGUGCAUAUGUAUGUGCAUAUGUAUGUAUGUGUGCAUGUGUAUGUGUAUGUAUAUGUGUAUGUGUUUGUGAGGAGAGUGAAUACCUGGAUGAGUGACUGAGUGCGAAUGCAACAACAACAACAAAAAAAGAAAACAAAGAAUAAGAGAAAGAGGGAUCUAGUGAGUAAGUGUCCGACAGGGCGAGUGAACAAGUAAAUUAGACGAAAUGAGAACUAAUGGAGGGAAGG